rnacentral:rRNA from 1 species
GACGAACGCUGGCGGCGUGCCUAACACAUGCAAGUCGAACGGGGGUAUUUAUUUCGAUGAAUACCUUAGUGGCGAACGGGUGAGUAACGCGUGAGCAACCUAUCCUUAAGAGGGGGAUAACAUCUGGAAACAGAUGCUAAUACCGCAUAAGACCACACUGCCGCAUGGCAGAGGGGUCAAAGGAGCAAUCCGUUUAAGGAGGGGCUCGCGUCCCAUUAGAUAGUUGGUGAGGUAACAGCUCACCAAGUCAGCGAUGGGUAGCCGAGCUGAGAGGCUGAUCGGCCACACUGGAACUGAGACACGGUCCAGACUCCUACGGGAGGCAGCAGUGGGGAAUAUUGGGCAAUGGGGGGAACCCUGACCCAGCAACGCCGCGUGAGGGAAGAAGGCCUUCGGGUUGUAAACGUGCUUUUGUUACGGAACGAAAGACCUUACUUCUAAUACAGGAGGGUCGAUGACGGUACCGUAAGAAUAAGCACCGGCUAACUACGUGCCAGCAGCCGCGGUAACUAGUCUACG